CGGGGUGAGUAAUGUCUGGGAAACUGCCUGAUGGAGGGGGGUAACUACUGGAAACGGUAGCUAAUACCGCAUAACGUCGCAAGACCAAAGAGGGGGACCUUCGGGCCUCUUGCCAUCGGAUGUGCCCAGAUGGGAUUAGCUAGUAGGUGGGGUAACGGCUCACCUAGGCGACGAUCCCUAGCUGGUCUGAGAGGAUGACCAGCCACACUGGAGCUGAGACACGGUCCAG
rnacentral:rRNA from 1 species